GACGAACGCUGGCGGCGUGCCUAAUACAUGCAAGUCGAGCGAAGUUUUUCUGGUGCUUGCACCGGAAAAACUUAGCGGCGAACGGGUGAGUAACACGUAAAGAACCUGCCUCAUAGACUGGGACAACUAUUGGAGACGAUAGCUAAUACCGGAUAACAGCAUUAACUGCAUGGUUGAUGUUUAAAAGUUGGUUUUGCUAACACUAUGAGAUGGCUUUGCGGUGCAUUAGCUAGUUGGUGGGGUAAAGGCCUACCAAGGCGACGAUGCAUAGCCGACCUGAGAGGGUGAUCGGCCACACUGGGACUGAGACACGGCCCAGACUCCUACGGGAGGCAGCAGUAGGGAAUCUUCCGCAAUGGGCGAAAGCCUGACGGAGCAACGCCGCGUGAGUGAAGAAGGAUUUCGGUUCGUAAAGCUCUGUUGUUAGGGAAGAAUGAUUGUGUAGUAACUAUACACAGUAGAGACGGUACCUAACCAGAAAGCCACGGCUAACUACGUG
rnacentral:rRNA from 1 species